UAUCUUGUGCAAGUACCGGCCGAAACAA
rnacentral:sRNA from 1 species